AAUGCACCAAUUUGUAAGUCGCUCCGGAUAAGAGCGUCUGCUAAAUGACUUAAA
rfam:Salmo salar isolate Sally breed double haploid chromosome ssa11, whole genome shotgun sequence.